CCUGUAGCUCAGCAGGAUAGAGCAACGGCCUUCUAAGCCGUGUGUCGGGGGUUCGAGUCUCUCCAGGCG
rnacentral:tRNA from 2 species